rnacentral:rRNA from 1 species
GUCUACGGCCUUGCCACUCUGAACAAACCCGAUCCCGUCUGAUCUCAAAAGCUAAGUGGGGUUGGACCUGGUUAGUACUUGGAUGGGAGACCACCUAGGAAGACCAGGUGCUAUAGGCA